rnacentral:rRNA from 1 species
UACGUAGGGGGCAAGCGUUGUCCGGAUUUCCUGGGUGUCAAGGGUGCUCCGGUGGCUUGGCAAGUCAGUGGUGAAAUCUGAGAGCUUAACUCUCAAACUGCCAUUGAUACUUCUUAGCUUGAGUACGGAAGAGGCUGAUGGAAUUUCAGGUGUAGCAGUGAAAUGCGUAGAUAUCUGAAAGAACACCAGUGGCGAAGGCGGUCAGCUGGUCCGUUACUGACACUAAAGCACGAAAGCGUGGGGAGCAAACAGG